rnacentral:rRNA from 1 species
AAACGAUAGCUAAUACCGCAUAACAGUAGAUGUUGCAUGACAUUUGCUUAAAAGGUGCAAUUGCAUCACUACCAGAUGGACCUGCGUUGUAUUAGCUAGUUGGUGGGGUAACGGCUCACCAAGGCGACGAUACAUAGCCGACCUGAGAGGGUGAUCGGCCACACUGGGACUGAGACACGGCCCAGACUCCUACGGGAGGCAGCAGUAGGGAAUCUUCGGCAAUGGACGGAAGUCUGACCGAGCAACGCCGCGUGAGUGAAGAAGGUUUUCGGAUCGUAAAGCUCUGUUGUAAGAGAAGAACGAGUGUGAGAGUGGAAAGUUCACACUGUGACGGUAUCUUACCAGAAAGGGACGGCUAACUACGUGCCAGCAGCCGCGGUAAUACGUAGGUCCCGAGCGUUGUCCGGAUUUAUUGGGCGUAAAGCGAGCGCAGGCGGUUAGAUAAGUCUGAAGUUAAAGGCUGUGGCUUAACCAUAGUACGCUUUGGAAACUGUUUAACUUGAGUGCAAGAGGGGAGAGUGGAAUUCCAUGUGUAGCGGUGAAAUGCGUAGAUAUAUGGAGGAACACCGGUGGCG